rnacentral:rRNA from 1 species
UACGUAGGGGGCAAGCGUUGUCCGGAAUCAUUGGGCGUAAAGAGCGUGUAGGCGGCCCUGUAAGUCAGUGGUGAAAUACUGCAGCUUAACUGUAGCAUUGCCAUUGAUACUGUAGGGCUUGAGUACAGAUGAGGUAGGCGGAAUUGAUGGUGUAGCGGUGAAAUGCAUAGAUACCAUCAAGAACACCGAUUGCGAAGGCAGCUUACUAAGCUGUAACUGACGCUGAGGCACGAAAGCGUGGGGAUCGAACAGG